rnacentral:lncRNA from 13 species
UCAUAUACAGUACUAUUUCACCAUUAAGUUUGAAGACUUGAUUCAUGUACCUUUGAACCUCCGAAAUUUCUUACCAUUUUCCAACCUUUUAGUGAUUUAGGAGAGAGUGAAGAAACUAUGUAGCAACUAAAAAGUCAUAAUCAAAAUGAACACUUUUUUUUAAGAAGUGAUGAGAAUUUUUCUACCUUCAAAAAAGUGAGAAGCUUUUCUCCUUAACUUUAUGAGGACAUGAACUUGGGACCCACCGAACAGCAGGUGCAAAAAGGGCUGUAACACCUUCCUGAAUGGAUCACCAAGCUGCAGGGCGUUUGCACCCAUUAAUAGCACCAGUUUGUGCUGGUAUGAGGACAAGUUCUAUGCUGCCUGUGAUCUGAUUCCUAGAGCCAUCACUUUCAAGCUGUGGUGUACUGGGUUUUGGGGUACAUGUGCAGAAAAUGCAAGACAUUUGCAUAGGUACACACAUGGCAGUGUGUUUUGCUGCCUUCCUCCCCUUCACCCACAUUUGGGGAGAAAUUCCAAAAGAAGAUCUUUAGAGAGGUAGAAAAAAUAUAUAGAUCAGAAACUUGAAUCCACAUAAAGAAAAGAAGAGCAUCAGAGAAGUAAAG